UGGUCCGGUGGAUCACUGAUCCUGCGUUUGAUUUCAGUGAUCAAAAUUGAAAGCUAAUUUUGUUUGACUUUUGAUUCAGAAUCAAAAUUGUGACACCACUAAUAUGCUGUGUGAUGUGGUACCACUACCACUAACUUUUUUUUAAUAUUCAUUAUUGAGUUAUCUGAUUGAUAGCACAUUUGUAGGGCUGUCACGAUUAAUACAUUUUAUCUGAUGUUUAACUGUCAUACAAAUAUUUGCAGUUAACAAUUUAUUUGUCUGGUUAAACAACAAUUUUUCUUCUAGGCAAAUAAAAGCCUGGUCUGAAAUAAAGGUCAAGGGGCGUGGUCAAACAAAUACAGGCUGAACCCAGAUACAGAGCAGAAAUCCUCUACCAGAAAGGACACAAAAGCAGUGACAAACAGGCCCCAGCUAACCCUAUGAGCUGCCACUCACAUGGCCGGCAGACCGUUAUUCGGCCUUGAAUCAACGUGCGGCACAAAAGGCAGAACAUGUGGAUUUGCCGAGGUGUGCAGGACAAAGCCCGAACGUUACCUUCCAGAGGCAGCAGCAGCGCCAGCAGCACACACAGCGAGCACAGGAAACGGUUAGCCAUGUC